GUGAAUAAACUUGUGUGGGUUGUUGCUGACCUCCUCGGAGGUAUGUGCACGCUCGCCAUUGUUUCAUUCUCCUUCCACCUGUGCACUUUUUGUAGACCAGGCUGUCACUUUUCGGGUUGCUCGCAUCCCGGUCAUGAGGACCUGCUCUGGCUGUCCUUGGACGGUGUGGUCUAUGUCUUUUUAUCAACUCUGCAUGUAACUGAAUGUUUGUUCUGGGUUCUACACCCAUAAAAUCUAUA
rnacentral:misc_RNA from 1 species